UCUGACAGAAGACAGUGACAUGAUAGGAGUGGUGACACAAAGCUCUUACUGUUACAUUCAAUAAUUGAUUCUCCUGGAUGGAUUGUGACUCCCUAAAGGUUGCAAAGAGAGAAAGAGUUGAAUUAUCCUGCUGCUUACCAAAAGAAAAACAGCAUAAGAAUACUGGUUAAUGGGCAUGCUUUGGAUUCACACUGGAUCCUGGAAGCAGAAUCGUCCCCUGUGGAUGUAAAAGUUUCAAGGACACCUGGGCUUUUUCAACAGACUUUCACCCCACCAUGAUCAUGGCUACAAAACAAGAUCCAUCCCUGGGAAUGGGCUUUGUACAAAGCUGGUGU